ACUCUGGUGGCCUAGCUCCUGAGGCAUUUGCCUUGGAUGCCAGAGGUUGUGGGUUCAAACCCCAGCAGAGUU